UCCUUCAGGGCAGGGUGAAAUUCCCGACCGGCGGUGAUCACUUUCGUGUAAGCCCGCGAGCCCCUCGUUCGCGAAAGCGGCAGGGUGCAGGAUCUGGUGCGAGUCCAGAGCCGACAGUACAGUCUGGAUGGGAGAAGGA
rnacentral:ncRNA from 1 species